AGUGAACGCUGGCGGUAGGCCUAACACAUGCGAGUCGAACGGCAGCACAGUAAGAGCUUGCUCUUACGGGUGGCGAGUGGCGGACGGGUGAGGAAUACAUCGGAAUCUACUUUUUCGUGGGGGAUAACGUAGGGAAACUUACGCUAAUACCGCAUACGACCUACGGGUGAAAGCAGGGGAUCUUCGGACCUUGCGCGAUUGAAUGAGCCGAUGUCGGAUUAGCUAGUUGGCGGGGUAAAGGCCCACCAAGGCGACGAUCCGUAGCUGGUCUGAGAGGAUGAUCAGCCACACUGGAACUGAGACACGGUCCAGACUGCUACGGGAGGCAGCAGUGGGGAAUAUUGGACAAUGGGCGCAAGCCUGAUCCAGCCAUACCGCGUGGGUGAAGAAGGCCUUCGGGUUUUAAAGCCCUUUUGUUGGGAAAGAAAAGCAGCAGGUUAAUACCCCGCUGUUAUGACGGUACCCAAAGAAUAAGCAGCGGCUAACUUCGUG
rnacentral:rRNA from 1 species